rnacentral:rRNA from 1 species
AUUGAACGCUGGCGGAAUGCUUUACACAUGCAAGUCGAGCGGCAGCACGGGGGCAACCCUGGUGGCGAGCGGCGAACGGGUGAGUAAUACAACGGAACAUGCCCAGUCGUGGGGGAUAACACUUCGAAAGAAGUGCUAAUACCGCAUACGUCCUGAGGGGGAAAGCGGGGGAUCGCAAGACCUCGCGCGAUUGGAGUGGCCGAUGUCAGAUUAGCUAGUUGGUGGGGUAAAGGCCUACCAAGGCAACGAUCUGUAGCUGGUCUGAGAGGAUGAUCAGCCACACUGGGACUGAGACACGGCCCAGACUCCUACGGGAGGCAGCAGUGGGGAAUUUUGGACAAUGGGGGCAACCCUGAUCCAGCCAUUCCGCGUGAGUGAAGAAGGCCUUCGGGUUGUAAAGCUCUUUCGGCAGGAACGAAACGGUGAGCUCUAACAUAGCUUGCUAAUGACGGUACCUGAAGAAGAAGCACCGGCUAACUACGUG